CAUAGGUUAAUGAGGCGAACCGGGGGAACUGAAACAUCUAAGUACCCCGAGGAAAAGAAAUCAACCGAGAUUCCCCCAGUAGCGGCGAGCGAACGGGGAGGAGCCCAGAGCCUGAAUCAGUGUGUGUGUUAGUGGAAGCGUCUGGAAAGGCGCGCGAUACAGGGUGACAGCCCCGUACACAAAAAUGCACAUAUUGUGAGCUCGAUGAGUAGGGCGGGACACGUGGUAUCCUGUCUGAAUAUGGGGGGACCAUCCUCCAAGGCUAAAUACUCCUGACUGACCGAUAGUGAACCAGUACCGUGAGGGAAAGGCGAAAAGAACCCCGGCGAGGGGAGUGAAAAAGAACCUGAAACCGUGUACGUACAAGCAGUGGGAGCCUCUUUAUGGGGUGACUGCGUACCUUUUGUAUAAUGGGUCAGCGACUUAUAUUCUGUAGCAAGGUUAACCGAAUAGGGGAGCCGAAGGGAAACCGAGUCUUAACUGGGCGUUAAGUUGCAGGGUAUAGACCCGAAACCCGGUGAUCUAGCCAUGGGCAGGUUGAAGGUUGGGUAACACUAACUGGAGGACCGAACCGACUAAUGUUGAAAAAUUAGCGGAUGACUUGUGGCUGGGGGUGAAAGGCCAAUCAAACCGGGAGAUAGCUGGUUCUCCCCGAAAGCUAUUUAGGUAGCGCCUCGUGAAUUCAUCUCCGGGGGUAGAGCACUGUUUCGGCAAGGGGGUCAUCCCGACUUACCAACCCGAUGCAAACUGCGAAUACCGGAGAAUGUUAUCACGGGAGACACACGGCGGGUGCUAACGUCCGUCGUGAAGAGGGAAACAACCCAGACCGCCAGCUAAGGUCCCAAAGUCAUGGUUAAGUGGGAAACGAUGUGGGAAGGCCCAGACAGCCAGGAUGUUGGCUUAGAAGCAGCCAUCAUUUAAAGAAAGCGUAAUAGCUCACUGGUCGAGUCGGCCUGCGCGGAAGAUGUAACGGGGCUAAACCAUGCACCGAAGCUGCGGCAGCGACACUAUGUGUUGUUGGGUAGGGGAGCGUUCUGUAAGCCUGUGAAGGUGGCCUGUGAGGGUUGCUGGAGGUAUCAGAAGUGCGAAUGCUGACAUAAGUAACGAUAAAGCGGGUGAAAAGCCCGCUCGCCGGAAGACCAAGGGUUCCUGUCCAACGUUAAUCGGGGCAGGGUGAGUCGACCCCUAAGGCGAGGCCGAAAGGCGUAGUCGAUGGGAAACAGGUUAAUAUUCCUGUACUUGGUGUUACUGCGAAGGGGGGACGGAGAAGGCUAUGUUGGCCGGGCGACGGUUGUCCCGGUUUAAGCGUGUAGGCUGGUUUUCCAGGCAAAUCCGGAAAACCAAGGCUGAGGCGUGAUGACGAGGCACUACGGUGCUGAAGCGACAAAUGCCCUGCUUCCAGGAAAAGCCUCUAAGCAUCAGGUAACAUCAAAUCGUACCCCAAACCGACACAGGUGGUCAGGUAGAGAAUACCAAGGCGCUUGAGAGAACUCGGGUGAAGGAACUAGGCAAAAUGGUGCCGUAACUUCGGGAGAAGGCACGCUGAUAUGUAGGUGAAGCGACUUGCUCGUGGAGCUGAAAUCAGUCGAAGAUACCAGCUGGCUGCAACUGUUUAUUAAAAACACAGCACUGUGCAAACACGAAAGUGGACGUAUACGGUGUGACGCCUGCCCGGUGCCGGAAGGUUAAUUGAUGGGGUUAGCGGUAACGCGAAGCUCUUGAUCGAAGCCCCGGUAAACGGCGGCCGUAACUAUAACGGUCCUAAGGUAGCGAAAUUCCUUGUCGGGUAAGUUCCGACCUGCACGAAUGGCGUAAUGAUGGCCAGGCUGUCUCCACCCGAGACUCAGUGAAAUUGAACUCGCUGUGAAGAUGCAGUGUACCCGCGGCAAGACGGAAAGACCCCGUGAACCUUUACUAUAGCUUGACACUGAACAUUGAGCCUUGAUGUGUAGGAUAGGUGGGAGGCUUUGAAGUGUGGACGCCAGUCUGCAUGGAGCCGACCUUGAAAUACCACCCUUUAAUGUUUGAUGUUCUAACGUUGGCCCGUAAUCCGGGUUGCGGACAGUGUCUGGUGGGUAGUUUGACUGGGGCGGUCUCCUCCUAAAGAGUAACGGAGGAGCACGAAGGUUGGCUAAUCCUGGUCGGACAUCAGGAGGUUAGUGCAAUGGCAUAAGCCAGCUUGACUGCGAGCGUGACGGCGCGAGCAGGUGCGAAAGCAGGUCAUAGUGAUCCGGUGGUUCUGAAUGGAAGGGCCAUCGCUCAACGGAUAAAAGGUACUCCGGGGAUAACAGGCUGAUACCGCCCAAGAGUUCAUAUCGACGGCGGUGUUUGGCACCUCGAUGUCGGCUCAUCACAUCCUGGGGCUGAAGUAGGUCCCAAGGGUAUGGCUGUUCGCCAUUUAAAGUGGUACGCGAGCUGGGUUUAGAACGUCGUGAGACAGUUCGGUCCCUAUCUGCCGUGGGCGCUGGAGAACUGAGGGGGGCUGCUCCUAGUACGAGAGGACCGGAGUGGACGCAUCACUGGUGUUCGGGUUGUCAUGCCAAUGGCACUGCCCGGUAGCUAAAUGCGGAAGAGAUAAGUGCUGAAAGCA
rnacentral:rRNA from 1 species